rnacentral:rRNA from 1 species
GACGAACGCUGGCGGCGUGCUUAACACAUGCAAGUCGAGCGGUAAGGCCCUUUCGGGGGUACACGAGCGGCGAACGGGUGAGUAACACGUGGGUGACCUGCCCUCAGCUCUGGGAUAAGCCUGGGAAACCGGGUCUAAUACCGGAUAUGACUCCAUGACGCAUGUUGUGGGGUGGAAAGCCUUGUGCGGCUGAGGAUGGGCCCGCGGCCUAUCAGCUUGUUGGUGGGGUGAUGGCCUACCAAGGCGACGACGGGUAGCCGGCCUGAGAGGGCGACCGGGCCACACUGGGACUGAGACACGGCCCAGACUCCUACGGGAGGCAGCAGUGGGGAAUCUUGCGCAAUGGGCGAAAGCCUGACGCAGCGACGCCGCGUGAGGGAUGACGGCCUGG